GGGCCGGUAGCUCAGUAGUAGAGUGCCUGCCUCGCACGCAGGAGGCCCCGGGUGCGAAUCCCGGCCGGUCCA
rnacentral:tRNA from 1 species